rnacentral:tRNA from 1 species
UGGGAGGUCGUCUAAUGGUAGGACACAGCACUCUGAAUGCUGCGAUCGGGGUUCAAGUCCCUGCCUCCCAGCCA